rnacentral:rRNA from 1 species
CCCUUAGAUGUUCUGGGCCGCACGCGCGCUACACUGAUGCAUUCAACGAGCCUAUCCUUGACCGACAGGUCCGGGUAAUCUUUGAAUCUGCAUCGUGACGGGGAUAGAUUAUUGCAAUUAUUAAUCUUCAACGAGGAAUGCCUAGUAGGCGCAAGUCAUCAGCUUGCGUCGAUUACGUCCCUGCCCUUUGUACACACCGCCCGUCGCUCCUACCGAUUGGGGGUGCUGGUGAAAUGUUCGGAUCGGCCGUUUGUCGCGGUUUCCGCGGCUCGUGGCUGAGAAGUUCAUUAAACCCUCCCACCGAGAGGAAGGAGAAGUCGUAACA